AGCGAACGCUGGCAGCAGGCCUAACACAUGCAAGUCGAACGAAGUCUUCGGACUUAGUGGCGGACGGGUGAGUAACACGUGGGAACGUACCUUUUGGUUCGGAACAACUCGGGGAAACUUGAGCUAAUACCGGAUGAGCCCUUAGGGGGAAAGAUUUAUCGCCGAAAGAGCGGCCCGCGUUAGAUUAGCUAGUUGGUGAGGUAAAGGCUCACCAAGGCUACGAUCUAUAGCUGGUCUGAGAGGAUGAUCAGCCACACUGGGACUGAGACACGGCCCAGACUCCUACGGGAGGCAGCAGUGGGGAAUCUUGCGCAAUGGGCGAAAGCCUGACGCAGCCAUGCCGCGUGAAUGAUGAAGGUCUUAGGAUUGUAAAAUUCUUUUACCAGGGACGAUAAUGACGGUACCUGGAGAAAAAGCCCCGGCUAACUUCGUGCCAGCAGCCGCCGUAACAC
rnacentral:rRNA from 1 species